UUUUGUUUCCCUCCGGCGAGUCGGCGCGAGGGUGAACUUCCGUUUCCGGCAGUGUUCAAGGGGGGACCUAAGGAGUUGUAGUUGUGAGUAGGUUCGGUGCCGCGGGCUGGGGUAGGCGGCCGUGGGGUCCUUGGCUCUGGGGCACUGGGAAGAUCGCGAGUCGUGCACAUGGAAAGGCCCUCCCCCGGUCCUCCGGGUCAUCUUUGCUCCCGAGAAGCAGCAUAUUUAGCAUCUGCCGGAGGUGUGCCCGGGGGUCGUUGGGAGAGUGACGGGAUGAAUCCCUGCAGAGAGCCCGGACUGGGAGGGAGAGUGUCGGGGAGACGUCGUUUCCUGGCGACGUGGCCUCCGCAGGCGACUUAGACCUGAGCCGAAUCUGUUGACCCCAAAUUGUGCUUUUCCCACCAAGAAGAGAAGGGAGAGAAACAGUGUUAGAGUUACUUGUUGUUGGUAAAUAGCCACUAUGGAGACUGAGGACCAGAAGAAACACAGAAAGAAAAACAGUGGACCCAAAGCUGCAAAGAAAAAGAAGCGGCAUCUGCAGGAUCUCCAGCUAGGAGACGAAGAUUCUGGGAAGAGAAAUUCCAAAGCUUUUGCAGUUCAGUCUGCUGUGGGGAUGGCUCGAUCCUUUCACAGGACUCAGGAUUUGAAGACAAGAAAGCAUCAUAUGCCAGUGGUUGGUUGAACUCCACUAGAGCCCCCACCAAUAGUGGCAGUGGUGACGGGGCCUCCAAAGUUGGAAAGAGCACUUUGAUACAAUGCCUCAUUGGGAACUUCACCCGCAGAAGUUCACUGAGAUCAGAGGCCCUGUGACGAUUGUGUCAGGUAAAAAAUAUAGACUCACCAUUAUUGAAUGUGGGUGUGACAUUAACAUGAUGAUUGAUCUGGCUAAAGCAGCAGAUCUAGUACUGAUGCUUAUAGAUGCCAGCUUUGGGUUUGAAAUGGAAAUGUUUAAGUUUCUAAACAUCUGUCAAGUACAUGGCUUUCCUAAAAUUAUGGGAGUUCUCACCCACCUCGAAUCCUUCAAGCAUAAUGAGAAACUGAAGAAGACAAAGAAGCGAUUAAAACAGAGGUUCUGGACAGAAGUUUACCCAGGUGCCAAGCUGUUCUGCCUUUCUGGAAUGCUGCACGGAGAAUAGCAAAACCAAGAAAUCCACAAUCUGGGCCGUUUUAUUACAGUUACGAAGUUUAGGCCUCUCACAUGGCAAACUUCUCACCCUUAUAUCCUGGCAGACAGGAUGGAAGAUUUGACAAACCCAGAGGAUAUCUGAACAAACAUCAAAUGUGACCAGCAGGUGUCACUUUAUGGUUAUGUGCACACUUGAAAAAUAAAAGCCAAAUUCAUAUGCCAGGGGUAGAAGAUUUUGCCAUGAGUGACAUCGGUUUCCUCCCAGACCCUUGUGCUCUUCCUGAGCAACGAAAGAAGUGCUGUUAAAAUAAGAAGGAGCAGCUGGUUUAUGUGCCUCUUUCUGGAGUUGGGCAUGUGCUGUAUGACAAAGACGCUGUCUUUGUUGACCUUGGUGGCAGCCACAGUUUUCAGGCACAGGUGGGGCCCACCCAUGAGCUGGUCCAGAGUCUUAUCUCCACCCACUCCACCACUGAUGCCAAGAUGGCUUCAAGUCGGGUGACGCUGUUUUCUGAUUCCAAGCCACUUGGGUCAGAGGCUAUAGAUAAUCAAGGGCUGUUGAUGUCAAAGGAGGAAAAACAAAUGGACUUGAAAACUGGCCAAAUGCAUUGGAAAGCCAUUUUUGGAGAUGAAGAUGAAUCUGGAGAUAGUGAUAAUGAAGAAGAUGAUGAAAUGUCUGAAGAUGAUGGGUUGGAAAACAACUCUAGUGAUAAGGAAGCAGAAGAGGAGGAAAAUGCUGAGAUGACUGAUCAGUAUAUGGCUGGUAAGGGCGUCAAGCGAUGGAAACUUGAAGAGUUGGAAGAAGACAGUGAAAUGGAUUUGCCAGCAUUUACUGACAGUGACGAUGACCUUGAGAGGAGCUCAGCAGAAGAAGGGGAAGUGGAGGAAGCUGAUGAAAGCAGUAAAGAUGAGGACUGCACUGCAGGAGAGGGGGGCAUUUCAGGAUCAAAGGCUGUUGGAGAAGGUAGUGAAGCAGGGCUAUCACCAGCGAAUUGCCAGAGUGACUGUGUGAAUCUGGAGAAGUCUUUGCCGAUGAAGAAGGCAGCCCUCAUGACUUCCGAUUCUGAGCAUUGCACAGCUGAAGAGGCGUUUGCAUCUGAAGAUAAAUUUGAAGAAAGCUCCUCGCUGAGCGCAGAGGAAGAGGACUCAGAAAAUGAAAAGGCUAUUAGAAAAAAGUUUUCAAAGGCUUCUCAAGUGAGCAGUGGUCAGAAACUGGGGUCAAGGAACUUAAUUGAUGAGACAAGUGAUAUAGAAGAUUUACUCAAAGAGGAAGAAGAUUACAAGGAGGAAAAUAAUGAUUCCAAAGAAACCUCACAUAAGCUUUAAUUUAUCAUUUCAGGUGCCCUCAAGCGGAAGGAAGACCUUUCCAGAAAGGCAGCUGAGGGCUUUCUGAGGCAGCAGCAAGCAGCUCCAAACCUCUGAAAGCUUAUUCAUGGGACAGUGGCAGAAGAUAAUGAAGAAGAAGAUCAUGAUACCCAAGAAGAGCUUGCAGGGUUGUUUCAUGUCAACCAGCCUGACAGAGAGUGGAAGCACAAGGCUGACUCUUUGGACUACUCCAGAUUUCUUGUGGAGGCCCCCCCAUGACUGGGAUUUAGAGGAAGCUAUGAACAGUCUCAGAGAUUGUUUCGUGACUGGAAAGUGGGAAGACGAUAAAGAUGCAGCCAAGGUCUUAGCAGAAGAUGUCACUCGUGAAAUGCUUUGGGGAAUUCAGACAGGAGUAAUAAGCCAGUAUGAGGGUUUUCGACCUGGGAUGUACAUCCGCGUUGAGAUUGAAAAUGUUCCCUGUGAAUUUGUGCAGAACUUUGACCCCCAUUACCCCAUUAUCCUGGGUGGCUUGGGCAACAGUGAGGGAAAUGUUGGAUACGUGCAGAUGCGUCUGAAGAAACAUCGCUGGUAUAGGAAAAUCCUCAAGUCCCGAGACCCAAUCAUAUUUUCUGUAGGGUGGAGAAGGUUUCAGACCAUCUCGCUCUAUUAUAUCGAAGACCACAAUGGAAGAAAAAAGCUUCUAAAGUAUAUCCCACAGCACAUGCAUUGCAAAGCAGCCUUUUGGGGCACUAUCACUCCACAGGGAACUGGUUUCUUGGCAAUACAGUCUGUCAGUGGCAUAAUGCCUGGUUUUCAGAUAGCUGCCACAGGAGUUGUCCUUGAUCUGGAUAAAUCCAUAAAAAUUGUGAAGAAAUUAAAGCUAAUUGGUUUUCCAUAUAAAAUUUUCAAGAACACUUCAUUUAUUGAGGGAAUGUUUAAUUCUGCCUUGGAAGUAGCCAAAUUUGAAGGUGCUGUGAUUCGAACUGUCAGUGGGAUAAGGGGGCAGAUCAAGAAAGUGCUCUGAGCUUCAGAAAGAGCUUUCCAGGCCAGCUUUCAGGAUAAGCUGCUGAUGAGCGAUAUUGUUUUCAUGCAAACUUGGUAUCCUGUUUCCAUCCCAGCCUUCUAUAACCCAGUAGCAUCUAUGUUGAAACCAGUGGGUGAGAAAGACACCUGGUCAGGAAUGUGGACCACUAGCCAACUCGGGCUUAACCAUGGCAUCAGACUAAAGGCGAACAAGGACUCUCUGUGUAAGCCAGUCCUAAGGCAAUCCUGAGGCAAAAAUUCACUGCAGAUUCCAAAAGCCUUGCAGAAGGCCCUGCCAUUUAAGAACAAGCCCAAGACCCAAGCAAAGGCAGGCAAGGUGCCGAAGAACAGGUGGAGACCAGCCGUCAUACGCGAGCCUCAUGAAAGAAAGAUCCUCGCGCUGCUGGAUGCUCUGAGUACGGUGCACAGUCAGAAGAUGAAGAAGGCCAAGGAGCAGCGGCACCUGCACAAUAAGGAGCACUUCAGAGCCAAGCAGAAGGAGGAGGAGGAGAAGCUGAAGCGGCAGAAGGACCUCAGGAAGAAGCUCUUCCGAAUUCAGGGGCAGAAGGAAAGAAGAAACCAGAAGUCCAGUUUGAAGGGGGCUGAAGGCCAGUUGCAGUGAGCCUUUGGACUGGAGGGACUGUCCCUGGAUCUGCGGAGGUGGACAGUUUCAAACAUCACAGUUUGAAUGCCUGUGAAUGACAAGUCAGUCGGCAAGAGCUCAAGAGAUGUCUCUACCCAAACUGUGCCUGCAAGAGGAGGAACGGAGAAGCCUGGACUGCUGGGACUGGGUUCGUUCUCACCACCUGGGGCUGUCGAGAUUUAAAGUGAUGUAAGCUGUG